GAGAAAGGGGAGUUAGGGAUUUUCUUACAUUUCUCUACAAUUCUCUCAUCCAUUCUUGAAAAUAAUGCAUGAUUAUGGAGAGUUAAGAUAAUUAAGAAGGUUUAUGGUGAACUACACUAAAUAUUUGAGUGAUCUAAGGGUUUUAAAGCUUGUGGAGGAAGAAUGAAGUGUGGAGAAAGGAAGAAGAAGGAGGGAUAUAAAGGGUGGUUUCACCUUGAGGAGAGUUGCCUAAGGGAGGACAAUAUUAGGGUCGUGCAUUCUGUGACCAAACUGCAGGUAGGUGUUCAACACAUAAUCUAUUUAGGAAAUUUUAUGAAUGUUAAGAUGUAGUAAUUUUUCUUAUAAUGUCAUUUUAAAUAUGAACAUUGAUGUGAUAUUAUUAUUAAAAAAAUUGAAAGUUACAGCUGCCCAGUGAGGAAUUGGCGGCAGUGGAACUGAUUGAAUGAUUGUAAUGAUUGAUACUAACGGUAUCGUAUAUUUUUGAAAAAAGAUUGUAGUGCGUUAUGCUUUUAAUUGAUAAUAAAGUAAUUUUGUGAUA